AACGAACGCUGGCGGCAGGCCUAACACAUGCAAGUCGAGCGAGGACUUCGGUCCUAGCGGCGGACGGGUGAGUAACGCGUGGGAACGUGCCCUUUGCUUCGGAAUAGCCCUGGGAAACUGGGAGUAAUACCGGAUGAGCCCUUUGGGGGAAAGAUUUAUCGGCGAAGGAUCGGCCCGCGUUGGAUUAGGUAGUUGGUGGGGUAAUGGCCUACCAAGCCGACGAUCCAUAGCUGGUUUGAGAGGAUGAUCAGCCACACUGGGACUGAGACACGGCCCAGACUCCUACGGGAGGCAGCAGUGGGGAAUCUUAGACAAUGGGGGAAACCCUAAUCUAGCCAUGCCGCGUGAGCGAUGAAGGCCUUAGGGUUGUAAAGCUCUUUCAGCUGGGAAGAUAAUGACGGUACCAGCAGAAGAAGCCCCGGCUAACUCCGUG
rnacentral:rRNA from 1 species